GAUGAACGCUGGCGGCGUGCCUAAUACAUGCAAGUCGAGCGAACAGACGAGGAGCUUGCUCCUCUGACGUUAGCGGCGGACGGGUGAGUAACACGUGGAUAACCUACCUAUAAGACUGGGAUAACUUCGGGAAACCGGAGCUAAUACCGGAUAAUAUAUUGAACCGCAUGGUUCAAUAGUGAAAGACGGUUUUGCUGUCACUUAUAGAUGGAUCCGCGCCGCAUUAGCUAGUUGGUAAGGUAACGGCUUACCAAGGCAACGAUGCGUAGCCGACCUGAGAGGGUGAUCGGCCACACUGGAACUGAGACACGGUCCAGACGCCUACGGGAGACAGCAGUAGGGAAUCUUCAGCAAUGGGCGAAAGCUUGACGGAGCAACGCCGCGUGAGUGAUGAAGGUCUUCGGAUCGUAAAACUCUGUUAUUAGGGAAGAACAAAUGUGUAAGUAACUAUGCACGUCUUGACGGUACCUAAUCAGAAAGCCACGGCUAACUACGUG
rnacentral:rRNA from 1 species